rnacentral:rRNA from 1 species
AUUGAACGCUGGCGGCAGGCCUAACACAUGCAAGUCGAGCGAGCGGCGGACGGGUGAGUAAUGUAUGGGGACUGCCCGAUAGAGGGGGAUAACUACUGGAAACGGUAGCUAAUACCGCAUACUAUCGGAUAACCCAUAUGGGAUUAGCUAGUAGGUGAGGUAAUGGCUCACCUAGGCGACGAUCCCUAGCUGGUCUGAGAGGAUAAUCAGCAACACUGGGACGGAACCACGGCCCAGAGUCCUACGGAGGCAGCAGAGGGAAAUAGUGCACAAUGGGCGAAAGCCUGAUGCAGCCAUGCCGGGUGUAGGAAGAGGGCCCUAGGGUUGUAAAGUACUUUCAGUCGGGAGGCGUUACCGACAGAAGAAGCACCGGCUAACUCCGUGCCAGCAGCCGCGGUAAUU